rnacentral:rRNA from 1 species
GAUGAACGCUAGCGGCAGGCCUAACACAUGCAAGUCGAGGGAGGAGCUUUCGGGCUUCGACCGGCGUACGGGUGCGUAACGCGUAUACAAUCUGCCUUUCACAUAGGGAUAGCCCGAAGAAAUUUGGAUUAAUACCUAAUGGUAUAUAGGAGUGGCAUCACAUUUAUAUUAAAGCUGAGGCGGUGAAAGAUGAGUAUGCGUUCUAUUAGCUAGUUGGAGAGGUAACGGCUCCCCAAGGCGACGAUAGAUAGGGGUUCUGAGAGGGAUAUCCCCCACACUGGUACUGAGAUACGGACCAGACUCCUACGGGAGGCAGCAGUGAGGAAUAUUGGACAAUGGUCGGAAGACUGAUCCAGCCAUGCCGCGUGCAGGAAGGCGGCCUUAUGGGUUGUAAACUGCUUUUGCAGGGGAAGAAUAAGGACUACGAGUAGUUUGAUGACGGUACUCUGCGAAUAAGCAUCGGCUAACUCCGUG